rnacentral:tRNA from 1 species
UCCCUGGUGGUCCCAGUGGCUGGGAAACUGCACUCCCAAUGCAGGGAGCCUGGGUUCGAUCCCCGGUCAGGGAA